rnacentral:lncRNA from 1 species
UCGGGGCAGAAUCUUGAUCAUAUUAAUUUAUUUUGUUUCGUAAUAUUGGGCACAAAAUAGAACUAAGAAAAGAAAAGCAUAUCCUAAAAAUUCCCACACGACAAAGUGUUGUCGUUUAUAUAGAUAUAUAUCUUUCUAUUUCAAGAGAAAAUAAAAAGGAAGAAAAAAAAAAAGAAAACUUUUGAACUUAUGCACUAUAUUGGGCAUGAUGAUGAACUUAACAUGAAGUUUAUUUCAUGCUAACCACUCAAUAUAUAUAUAUAUAUGUGUGUGUGUGUGUGUGUGUAAUAACUUGCAUGGUAGCUAGUGUAGUUUUGUUGGAGUAAUCUUGAUAACAAGGCCAGGAAAAACAUCAUCAGGAUCUUGAAUAUGAGGGUUUUGCUCAAUUAUAUACGGGUCUUUGCACUUGUCACUGAUUGUAUGAAGUGUUUCUCCUUCUCCGACGACAUAAAUUUCGUCGCAAGCUCGACCGAUAAGGAGGUGAUCAGAAUCAUCUUCAUCACCUUUGACAUGAUGAGUUUUAGCCCCAUCAUCAUACAAAUCUCCCUCUAAGGAAGCAUUCAACAAGACAAGUGCAACAACGAAAACAACACAAUACCAUGAAGCUGCAUCAGCUGCCAUUUGGGACUUCUUUUUGGGACAACUAUAAGCCAUAUAUAUAUAUAUGACAGAUCUAAUAUCAGAAAUCAGGAAAAGAUAUAUAUAUAGAAGUAGAGAGAUAAAGAGAGAGUGGUGCAUACCUAUAUAUAUAUAUAUAUAUAUAUAUAUAUAUAUAUAUAUAUAUAUAUAUAUAUAUANNNNNNNNNNNNNNNNNNNNNNNNNNNNNNNNNNNNNNNNNNNNNNNNNNNNNNNNNNNNNNNNNNNNNNNNNNNNNNNNNNNNNNNNNNNNNNNNNNNNNNNNNNNNNNNNNNNNNNNNNNNNNNNNNNNNNNNNNNNNNNNNNNNNNNNNNNNNNNNNNNNNNNNNNNNNNNNNNNNNNNNNNNNNNNNNNNNNNNNNNNNNNNNNNNNNNNNNNNNNNNNNNNNNNNNNNNNNNNNNNNNNNNNNNNNNNNNNNNNNNNNNNNNNNNNNNNNNNNNNNNNNNNNNNNNNNNNNNNNNNNNNNNNNNNNNNNNNNNNNNNNNNNNNNNNNNNNNNNNNNNNNNNNNNNNNNNNNNNNNNNNNNNNNNNNNNNNNNNNNNNNNNNNNNNNNGGGGGAGGGGGGGAAAGGGGGAGGUAACGUGAGGCACAUUUCAUUAUGGAUUUAACUGCCAAAAAACGACUUGUGUAAUUUUCAUGAGUUUUUUUUACUUUUAAUAUUUCUCAGGAUUUGGAAUUGUAUGUAUAGAAAUAAGAUAUGCAUUAAAUUAUGUUGUAUAUUUUGUUUGAUUGGGAUUUCCAUAUUUGUUAUUGCUCAACUUCCUCCAUAAAUAUGGUUAGGGGGAUUUAUAUAAGAAGUAGUAAUUAAUUAAAUAGGUUGGGAUGAUAAUUAUUGAGGGUGUUGAGUAUUAAUAUUGGAAUAUAAUCUAUAUGCUAAAUAAAAUUAUUCACUUAAUUCGGUUAUAUUUGAAAUUAGAUUAUUUUUUAAAAAAAGGAAUUAACUAAUUAAUAUGAGUAUGUCAUCGACAAAUAUUAAAAAAGAACUAGCUAAUAUAUUUGAGUAUUUCGCUGACAAAUUAAUCUUAACACGCGCAAGAGAAAUUUAUCAAUCUUAACACGCGCAAGAGAAAUUUAUCAAAAAUUAAAUAAAAUACAAACAAAUUUAAGAUUAAAAUACAAAUAAAUUAGUAAUAGUAGUAGAAAUUAAAGUGAGAGAAAAAAACAUGCAAGUCAUGAAGGGUUGCCUUUUCAACUAUAUCUAGAUUAUCUAUCUAUAUCAUUAAGGGAGGGGAGCAAAAAUAACUGGUUUUUGAUGAAAUUGUGUGACAUUAAAACUAAUUUAAUUUCCUUUCUUCCAUAUUUUCUCAACUUUUAUUCAAUUAUUUAAUUGUUUUUUUCUUGAUGGCCCCACAAAUACUAGUUAAUCUAUCUAACAAAAUAUAACUGAUUUUGAAUUUCCCGCUCACCUUAAUAAAUCAUCUGGACCGUCCAAAGUUUGGGAUAAAUUCUACCGUCUAUGUAGUACCGGAGGCACGGGACACAGUUAGUUUACUAAUAAAAUACAAAUAAAGCUUCUACUUGAAGUUGCAAUUAGGGUGCUGAAAAAUGGAGGAAAAGAAAAGUCUGGACAAUGCAUAAAUUGUUUGACAUAAGAAUGUAGUGAAUCAUGUUGGGGGGUCACAAGUUGUGGGCGUUUGAUCACAUUUUUCCGCCAGCCUACAAAAAAACAACUAAUAAAAAUUGUUUUUCGCAUGGCCAAAAUAAAUAAAUUAUUAUUUGAAAUUUAUUUCUUAAGAAUUUAUCAUAAUUAAUUAUCAUGCUAAGAAAAACUUACUACUUCUGCCGAUGGCCUUCACGUUUAAUUAAUGGAAUACUUUCGUACUUAAUUUUUAUGUGAUUUUCAGAUCAACAAAGAUGUUUUGAUAAAUUAUUAUUAAAAUAUGAGUUUAUUUUAAUUCAUAAUUGUUCAAGAUGUUUUGAUAGGUUGUAGUUAAUUCUUAACUAAUUUUCAUAGUUUAUACUUACCCAAAUUAAUUAUAAAAUUAUUAAAUUAAAGGGAAGAGAGAUUAAAUGUGUAGUUAAUUUAAUUUGGGCUUUAAAAUGAUUUAUUUUCCGAAUUUUGUGCACCAAAUUAUCAGUAACAUAAAUAGUUUGAAUUAUUAAAAGAAGAGUUGAUAUUAUUUGUUAUAAUUAUUGUUUAGUUGAUUCUGAUUUAUAGAUUGUUUUCUAUUUUACUCCAUUAGUUUACAUGCAUUUUAAUUAGUUUAAUUAAUUAUUUUAUUUUAAUUUUAAUUUGAAUUAAUCAUCUUCUCCAUCUUAAUUUUUAGUUAGCAUAAAUUAAUUAAAACAUAAAUGGUUGCUGGCUCAAAAGGAAUCACAACAUUUAUCAUUGAGAAGGGAAUAAUGCCUGCUUACUGCAGUACCUUCUGUUCAUAUUUAUAAAGUUGGCCAAAAACCUACUGUCUACAAGUUCAAAUUGGUCUGUAUAAAAUCUCUCAAUUUGAGAAGGGGUAACUAUGUUGUAUUUGUUUUUUUUAAUGAAAUUAUCAAUUCAAUAAGGGCUAAUUAUACUUCUCUAACAUGAAAUACUAUCAAAUUUAUAAUUCGGCCCCCAAAGAAUUUGGACUUAUAAUUUACUACAUCAAGUACCUAAUUUGAUACUCCACAAUUUAGUUCCCAAUUAAAAUUGGCCGAAAUACCCAACCCGCCCAAUAAUCUGAUCGGGUUUUAUGUAUUUAUAAUUUGCAAUAUUUAAGCUGUAAAAUUUAUAAAUACAAUUUGUUAAAUUUAAGACGUAAAAUUUAUAAUUUGCAAGAUUUAAGUUGUAAAAUUUAUACAUACAAUUUGUUAAAUUAAAUUAAGACGUACGUAAAAUUUAUAAUUUAUAAUUUGCAAGAUUUAAGUUGUAAAAUUUAUACAUACAAUUUGUAAAAUUUAAGACAUAAAAUUUAUAAUUUGUAAUUUGCAAGAUUUAAGUUGUAAAAUUUAUACAUACAAUUUGUUAAAAUUUCCAAAUUUGAAGGAACAAAACAAUUUGAAAGAUUAGAGAAAAGGGGGAGGAGAGAGAUCACAAAUGUAUCAUUUUUUUCUUUUUUCUUUUUUCUUUUAUACACUUAAAAUUAUAAAUAUUUAUAAAUAAAAUUUGUAAAAUUUAAGUUGUUUUUGUCAAUUGUUUAAAAGUUUAAUGUUAUUCGUGUUAAAAAUAUAAUUUGUAUGUUUAAAAGUUUGUUGAUUUUUUUGAUAAUUAAGUCUUUUUUAAAAAUUAACAAUUUGCUUCCAUGUACUUUCUUAAAGUAAGCAUAUUUGAAUAAUCUUAAAAUGGUCGGAUUGAAUUUUGAAUAUAUUUGAUUUUUGUUCUUAAAAUGCAUAAUUUUGAAAAAAUAAACUCCCAAAAUAAUCACGAAUCUCUAUUAGUCACUAAAUUUGCUGUUUUUAGAAUUAAAAUAAAUCACACUAAUUUAAAAUUUCAGAAUUUCAUGAGUUGGCUUAAAAAAUCAAUUUAUAACUUUAUUAUUUUAAAAGAGGGAGUAUUAUUAAAGACAUAAUUAAUCACAAAUAUGUCAGGGAACUUUUAGAUUAAUUUAUUCUCUAUUAUUACAAUAUCAGAUAUACUAAUAUUUCGAAGAAAUAUUUAGGAGUUGAAGAACUAAACUUAUAGUAAAUGAAAAGAAUAAUAUUCUUUUUUUAAAAAAAAUAAAACUAUUUUGAUUUUGUUUUAAAACCCAUCUUUUAUUAAUUCUUUAACCUUUGGUCAGUCCACUGAGAGUUCCGCAGCUAUGGCGAUCCCAGAAGAAGCAAAGCUCCAACUAUUUCUCCAGUGGAUGCAGGUCUUCAAUUCUUUCUAAAAGCCCAUUAUUUAUUUUUGCACUUUAUAUAUAUCUGUUGGGAAUUGUUUUGAAUAAAUUCGGCCAUUUGAAUAUGGAGCUCAGUUGAAUCGAGUGGAAUUACGUGGCUGCAACAUCAAAUACUGCGAUUCAAAUAAAGGGUUUGGUAUUUUUUCAUCUAGUGAUGUUUCUGAUGAUGGUAAUUUAAACCCUUUCUGUUUUUAUUUCGAUUUUAUUAUUUUAUACAUAAAUGCUCCUGUGUGAUUGCGAUUAAAUUUGAGAAAUGUAAAGAAUUUUAAAAAAAUUUAAGGGGUUGAUAUCUUUUUUUACAUUAUCCAUUUAUUGGAUUAGUCAUUAUGUUUAUACAUAUAUGUUCUGUUUGGUGCUUGAAAUUUUUUAGGAAAUUAGAAAUUUCAAGUUUGGAAUUUUAGUUAUUAACCUUUAAUAAGAUGGUUAUUUUUAUCUGUUCAUAUAUUUCAAGUUUUGUACUUGCAUGAAACUAAUGAAAUGAAAUAUUGUAUAGAAAUUUUGGUUUCAUUUCAUUUUAAUUAGAAUACAGGAAAGAACAGGACUGAAUGAUGGUUUGUUGGAUUAUUUUUUGGGAUACUUUUUCAGGCAUUCUAGUAGUGGUUCCGCUAGAUUUAGCUAUAACUCCAAUGAGGGUGUUACAGGAUCCUCUAUUGGGACCUGAGUGUUCAGCCAUGUAUGAGGAAGGUGACGUAGAUGAUCGGUUCUUGAUGAUUUUGUUUCUAAUGCUGGAACGACUACGGAAAGAGUCCUCGUGGAAGCCGUAUGUAUCGUAGCAUCGGGUUGAUCUAUUAUUAAUAUGUUAAUGUGUUAGUCUAGUGUUAGUCAUAUUAAUAUUUCGUAAAAAUAAUUUUAGGUACCUUGAUGUGCUUCCAAAAACAUUUGGGAAUCCACUCUGGUUUAAUGACAAUGAGCUGUCAGAGCUCAAGGGGACCGCAUUGUAUCGUGCCACCGAAUUGCAGGUAUAGAGUUUACAUGUAUGGCUUAAUUUGGUAUGGGUUGUUUGAGUUCGUUAAUAGAUUUGCACAUAUAGAUUAUGGUUCUUGCUUGUAUUGAAUACAUAAAAGGUAUUUUUUUGAAUUCAAAAAAUGGAAGUGUAUUAUUUUGCUUAUAUAAUAUCACUUAAUUUGGUUGUUAAUUAUGAUAUUUAUUUGUAAAUCUGUUAUGCUUUUCUGCUCUAAAAAAAAUUCACUGUAAACCAUUUUUUGACUGUUGAUGUUCUUUAUUACAGAAGCAAAAGUUGCAGUCUCUUUACAAUGAUAAAGUGAAAAUUUUGGUGAAGAAACUAUUGGUCCUUGAGGGAGAUUCAGAAAGGUCUGUUCAAAUUUUUAAUAAAAUUUUUCUUUGUUUGAACUACGUAUGUAGCUCAUACCUCAUACCUAUGCCUGUUAAAUCAUUAUUGACAUAUCUCGUUCAAGGGAGAUUUCAUAAAGGUUUAUGCAAAAUUAAUUGAAAAUCAUUUCUAUUUUUGAAACUGCUUAUGUAGGUCGUUCUCAUACCUAUUAAAGCAUGAUUGAGAGUCCCUGACAUUUUAUAUGGUAUAUUUCUAUCAUGCUGCCUACGGUAGCCCCACUGAGUCAUAGGGUGUUUUAUUUUGCUAUUUUAUAUACCAGAGGUAUACAUGUUUUUUCUCCCCCUCUUUUGACAAUUUUUCUAAUUACAUAUCAACUUCUCAAAUUGGUUUUAUGCCAUAUGGGAAGCAUUGACGAUACUUUGGCUUUGUCCAAUAUGGUGUUAUAAGUUAUAACAUAUGGAAAGUAUUGACGUAAGGUUUUGAGUUGGAGAAUCUUAUUAUCUUAUAUGAUAAAGGGGCCUAUGGGUCAAGUCUCUUGGCCAUCUGAAUUGUUUAUUCGCAUUUGUGUUGUUCACUUCUGUUGUUCUGCAUGUGUAUUAUAUCUAUUUAUCAUCUGUUGGACUCUACUUGCUAGUUGGGUCACACGUAAGGGAAGUUAUCAUCAAUAUGAUAAUCCUCCUAAUCUGCUCGUAUAAAGUUAUGGUCUACCUACCAAAAAUCAUAUGGUUUUGGGUUAAAUGCUCUUUGUUCCUUGAAGAGCGUCAAUUUUUACUAACUGACUGGAUAUUAAAAAUUUACAUUUUACUUCCAACACUUAAGGAGUUUUAGUAUCAAUUUCUGAGGAUACCAUCCCUUUAUUUAGUCUUCGUGCUUUGUUUUUUCAGUAUCUUCGUUCUUAUUAUGAUGGAAAAUUCCUAUUAUUGCUCAAUUCUUAAUGUAUUCAAAUUUUGUUUUUUGCUUUGCCAGUGAAGUGAGUUUUGAAGAUUUUCUUUGGUACGUAUCUUUCUCAUUGAAAUUCUCAAUAAUUGUUGUUUUUAAUGCACCAAAAUUUUCUCCUUGAAUAUUUAUAUUGAUAGCAACUUUGAGUCAAGCAACUAAUAUUAAACAAUUGACAUUGUCAUAGGGCUAAUUCCAUAUUUUGGACUCGUGCUCUGAAUAUUCCUCUUCCACGUUCUUAUGUAUUUCCUCAUAAUCAAGAACCGCAAGAGACCACUUUUCCUAGCACUGCAUCAUAUAAAAAUCAUAUCUCCAACGGGGAGUCGGUUAAACAAAAUGGUGAAAAAAGUGAGUUCAUCUUCUACAAAAUAGUUCUUUCUUAUUAAUCUACUGAAUACUUUGAUCAGUGUUGAAUGAUGCAUUUUAUCAUUGUAUCUCUCAGGUCUUGAGGUUAGCGGGGUUGAAAGCCAGGUUGUUGGGGUUACAUCCAAUUCACUACAAGGAGAGACUGUUUGGGUUGAGGGUCUUGUCCCUGGUAUUGAUUUUUGCAACCAUGGUAAUUUCGACCGUCCAAUAACUGUAUUUAAUUUUAUUUGUUUUGUCACUUUAUGUUUUUUAAUUUCUUUUGUUCAAAGAUAUAUAGAAAAAUAUUUUAAUUAAUUACUGCUGUUGCUUAAUACCUGCAAAGGGUAAUUGGAUUAUAGUUAUUUGUUUUGUUACAUUUUUGUUAAAAAUGUAUAUAAAAAUCAUUUAAUUAACAACUGCUUCUUCAGGCAUUCCUUAAUGCGUACAAAGGGUACAUCUUUAGGUAAAGAAAAUGCAUAGUAGGCAAAUUGGAGUUUAUCCAGACCUUUUUUGUUCCUUUGUUUUCUAUUGCAAGGAAGGCUAGAUAAAUUGAUUUAUGUUUUGGGUUUCGACUGAACCAAUUGUGUUGCUAUCUAAUAUUUUCAAUUGUUUUUACUCAUUACAGCCGCUGAUAUAGUUGUAAAAAUAAGUACAAAUAUAACUCUUUACUACAUUUUUUUGAAGUGGGCUUCAAUAUUAUAUGCAGUGUAUGCAAGCUGGCCUUUUGGCUUUCGUGCUCUGGAAGUUAACAACUUUAUAAAUGUCUCGUCAUUAAGCUUAGGGUCAUAAUAUCUUAUCAAUGGGGAGUCUUUUUUUCCUUUUUUUUCUUUUUACUGAUAGUAAAUUCAGAAUUAUCUGAAUACUUAUUUAUGAGCUUCACCUAAAUAUUUGAGGUGCCCUGUUACAAUAUCUUCUUAUCUUCACAUUAUUUGACUGCUUAAGAAUUUUUUUAUCUGUCUCAUUUGUUGCAAGAAUUUGAACAGAUCUAAGGGCUGCUGCAACAUGGGAAGUUGAUGGAUUGGGAUUGACCACCGGUGUUCCUUCGUCUAUGUACCUUAUUUUUGGUACCAUCCUAUCCUGAUUUGUUGAGUUUUUAUCCUUUAUAGGGCUGUAAAAAUCUCUGCCUUUAUUUCAUCUAUUAUUAGAGUGAUUUAUUUUGAUAUGCUCUUUAAAAAGUUAACUAGUUAAGUUGUUGUCUUUUUGACUAAUGAUUAUGUUCUCCUGUUUUUUGAACCAUUCAAAAAGCUGAACAAAGUUCUCAGUCAACCGAGAAAGAGAUAUCCAUUAGUUAUGGUGAUAAAGGAAACGAGGUAUCAUUAUUUGUUUCUAGUAUCAAUUUUUUUUACGUCUUCAUCUACUGUUUGUAUCUAUUAAUUAGUGCUGGACUUAGUGCUAAGCUGUCAUAUGAGUGACAUAUUUGGUCACUUUAAUAGACUCAUGCUUAUUUAUGCAUAUGCUUAAAACUUAAUUUUUUAACACUACAAUUAUAUAUAUGUCAUUAUGCUGCGUGUACUCCAUGUGUACGUCUCAUAUGCAAGAACCAUCUUUUGCAUUGUCUCAACUUCUGAUCAAUUGAAUAGCAAACUUCUCUUAGUUCCAGGAGUCAGCUUAUUUUAUUUUAGGUAGUCCUUCCUUUAUCCAAAUUGCCUGGAAUUUGUUCAGAAAACUUAAUUGUAUCUUGUUCAAGAAUCACCAAUAUCUAUCAUAAGUUAUUUUCUUCUUUGUUUUUGUGCUUGUGGUGCCUUAGACCUAGACCAUGUAGUCUCCACUGCCCCAGUAAGAAGGCCUCUGAAAAUACUGCUGAUUGUUUCUGGUCUUAUAAAGAAAUGAUCAUGUGCAUUAUGCUUGUUUUUUUCCUUCUUCUGUUGGAGCUUAUUCAGUUAUUCUGUCUCUAUACAAAAUUUUAUGAGUCAUUUUGCACAUGAUGCAGGAAUUGCUAUACCUAUAUGGUUUCGUCAUUGAUAAUAAUCCAGAUGAUUAUCUCAUGGUAAUUCCUACUUAGCAUUUUCACUUGUCUUUUAUAGUAUUUCAUAAUAAUUUCCAGUGAUGAUACCAUAACAGUUCACCUCAGUAAAGCCUUAUUCCGAGCACUUGGUAUUUGCUACGUGACUUUGCUUCGUAAUCUUGACCUAAUAAGGGAAUUUCUUAUGUGAUAUAACCUAUAUCAAUAAAUUUACAAAACCUAGGAAUUUAAUCAGUAACAUGAACGCAGGUUCACUAUCCAUCAGAGGCUAUCCAGGAUGUUCCUUUUUCUGAAUCCAAAAUGCAGCUUCUUGAAGCACAGGUCAGUGAUUUACAUGUGCUUAAUUGUAUUGAUCAUAUUAAUGCAAGCUAAAUGCAUAUAUACUAGCCCCAAAUGACUAUCAGUUUUGUCAUAGACCAACGCAUGUAUAGUUGCUCACUUUUCUAUUUAUGCUCAUUAUCAGUAUGUGGAUGCUAUCUUAUUUCCUGCAUGAAGUAGGAUGCACCCACUAUCGUACUAGUUACUUCACAUGUGAUUUCUGAAAUUGAUUCGCAUUUCUCAUAUUUGUUUAAAUAUCAUUGCUUAUUUGUGAAUCUAUAGGAAGUCUGUAUAUAUUUACUACAUACUGUAGUAUGUUUUAUAUUUGAUUUAUUUAUAAACUUGAUUUUCUUGCAGAAAGGUGAACUGAGGUGUCUUUUACCUAGAAGUUUGCUAAAUCACGGUUUUUUCAAAACAUGUGACCAACAAAAACAAACCAAUGAUAAGUGCACAGCUAGUCAGGUUUGCAACUAUAGUUGGUGUGGCCAGCGCAAGAAGCCCUCUUACAUAAAUAAGCUUGUUUUUCCUGAAGAUUUCUUAACUUCUUUGAGGACCAUAGCCAUGCGGGAAGAGGAGCUUUACCGUGUUUCCUCAUUACUCGAGGAGGUAUGGCCUCUCCUUGCCAAUAUCUUUCCCUGAAUAGAGUAUUAUAUGCUAUAUAAGUUACUUGAGCUUUUCAACUGCAUUUGUCCUUGGUUAUUUUUGUCUAUAAAUUACUUGAAUUUUAAGAAAAGGACCAAUUCCAUAACUAUAUUUGCAUACAAAGACAUGCAUGAUCAGUUUAGCUUAAGUUCAUGCAUAGUAAGUACUCGGAGUUGUACCCUUGGACUCUUGAGGGCCUAUAAGCAAAAGGUAAAAGUCUAAAUGACCUUUUGUGGCUGUAUGAUAAGUUCUCUGAUUUAGUUGUGAGACCUGAGCUAUAAUUGAAGUAAGCAUAUGAGAUGGGGUGGGUAUUACAUAAAAGCUAAUAACAAUAUCUGUAUAAAGGUACCAAUGUAGUAUUGAGGUUUUAUUAUAGGCCCGCAUUACAAGAGGAUUCUCUAAGCUUUUAUUAUUCAUUUGUACAAACUCUAUCUGUAGUUGUUUGAAAACUGACAUGUGCUUGAAUUUAAAUUAUAUUUAAGCAGAGAUGUCUGAGUGAUACUCCGAUGUCAGGCAAUAGUGGUACCAUGUGUCUGAUCAAUGAGACUUGUUUAAGGAGUACACAUAAUCAGAUGAUAUUAAUUGUUUCUCUUAGAAUUAACUCGAUCGAUAAUUUAUGACAAAUAAAUAUUACCUAAUUAUACUGUUUAAUAUUUCAGCAUUAGCUUGAUUGCUUUAUUUUCUGUUUUUUUUUUUCGAAAUAGUAUCGAGAUAUUGAAUAAAAAAUGAAAUGUCCAAAAAGUAGAAAAUGGAAAGCUAGUUGCACAUGAAUUAAUAAAGGUCAAUAUAGCUAGAUACUCAUGCUUCUUUCUCUCUCUCUCUCCCUCUCUCUUUAAUAUUUUUUGGUUAAAAAUUUCUUAGUUCAUGCUAAAGGCAUAAACUAUGGCUCAUUGUUCUAAAUAAAGCUUGUUGGUUCUGGGGGGGAGAGGCAACCAUCUGAUUCAGAAAUUCGAGCAGCAAUAUGGGAGGCUUGUGGAGAUUCUGGAGCUUUUCAACUGCUUGUCGACCUUCUUAAUAUGAAGUAAGCUCUUGAUACUAGCUCUAUAUUAUCAUAUUUUAGUUCUACUGCAACAUUGAUGCAAAACUUAGAAUUUCUGUAUAGUGUCAGCAUCCUUGCAUAUGUAAUUGUUUUUAGUAUCAGUGUAAUAUGAGAAACCUUUUUGAUGCAUCUCUAUCUUUAUAAAUAUUGUGUUUAUGAAUUUUUCUCAUCUAAAUAGUUGAUUAGGUACUUAUAAAGUCUAAAAACACUGGUGUGGAACUUAAGGAUUUCUGAUCAAUUCAAAAACUUGGAAUUAAUCCUGCUAGAGACAGAAUUAUUGGUUGGUUUGAAACAUGAAAAAAAAAAUCAGAAAGAAUUUUCAGCUAGAAUGAGACCCCCAAAUAUCUUAUUAGGGGAAUUAGUUGUGCGAAUCUAUAUCAAAUCAAUGUAUUGUUAUCGAAUCCCUUUGGAUUUCUAAUUGUUGCGUGAUUUGUUUUUCAAUCAUGCUAGAAUCGUGCCUAUGCUCGUCUUUCAAUUAAGAGUCUUUGAUAUGCUAUAUUUAGUUAAGGUUGGGUUCAAGAGAAUGCGUAGGUAGUUACACUCCAUUUCUUAGCCCUCAAGCUUCUGGUUGAAAAGCUUUCCUUGUUCUUUAUAACUAAUGAGAGCUGAUUUUCUCAUACAUAUUCUCUCUAGACAUCUCAUAUCUGCUUCAAUUCUAACUUUUUAGUUUAUGCUAGGAUGAUGGAUCUUGAAGAGGGUUCUGGGACAGAGGACCAUGACACUGAAUUGCUUGAGAAGGCCAACAACUCAAAAGAAUUCACAAGGUGAGUCAAGUUUCAGGUUAUGCGACAUUAAAAAAUUAAAACUGCAAUCUAAAUAUCUUGAUUUGUGUUUCCAUCACUUGAGAGCCCAAAAUUUCUUUCCUAUAUGUGGCCUUAUUGCUAAUGUUACCUUGUAAUGGAACUUGAAGAUUGGGUUAUGACAUAAGAUUCAUUUCAAAUGAUAAAUGGAUAAUUUCCAGUCCUCACCAAAGCCUGCUUUAUAUAAUUCUGAACACCGGUUAAGUACUUGCUGUAAAACUAAUUACUUGAUGCUGAAGUUAACAUCAUGGUAAGUUGUGUACCCCUAGGUCCUAAUUGAUGAAAAGACAGCAGAAGAAGAUAGCAAUUAGGCGGAGAAUUGCAUCUAGCAGCACAGAUUGAGUAGGGUCCUCAGUGGCUGAACUAGCCAGACCUUAUGGAACCAUCUGUCUGUCAAAAGCCAUAACACAUCUAGACAUCAUCAAAGCGAAAUUUGAGUCUGCAGAGGUAAGACAAAAUCAAAGUCAAGUCGACCAAAUCCCUAUGAAUUUCCAAGAAUCAUGGAUUUGUUCAAAGCGAAAUUUGAGUCUGCAGAGGUAAGACAAAAUCAAAGUCAAGUCGACCAAAUCUCUAUGAAUUUCCAAGAAUCAUGGAUUUGUUAGUCAUCUGUUUUCAAAUCUGUAAAAAAUCAAUUCUGCAGCAAGAUAGACUUUAGGUGAUUGACGCUAUAUCCAAUUAUUUUUUUUUUUGCCCGUAAUUACUGAACUUAUUUAUGUCAUGUAUGUUAUCCAUCACUGAUCUUUCCCUAAUGUCAUUUUUCUUGCCCUUUUUUCCUACUACUAUGACUGCAUUCAUAUAUUUUUGAAUUUAUUAGUUUAGGACUACUCAUUUUUUGUUUUGCUUAUUGCAGCAAUGAGACAAAUUUCUCAGCUCAACACCAGUUAUUCAGUAGGAACAAGUGGUCGAGUAUAGUAUAUCGAAGAGGGCAAAAGCAACUCACCAGACUUUUCAUCAAAGAAGCAGAGCAUGCCUUGCAAUUAUCCUUGAUCGAGGGGAACUGAUUAUUUUUACUUUUAGAAAUACUCUUACCUUAACCCCUAGGAAAUUCUGUUUGUUUGAACCAUUGGUAGUGCCUUUAUUUUUAGAGCAACAGGAAAUGACCAGGUGACAAAAAAACCUGAGGGGGAUUGUAACUUUUAUAAAGCAAGCCAACAGAAGUAAUAUUGUGAUUCAAAAUAUAUUUCAUGGGAACUUAAGUAGUUUAUAUCAUUAAGAUCCUGCUUGGUUAAUCUAUACUUGUCUGUCCCAAAAUGAGAGCCCUAAUUUAUAAACCCAUCCGAUUAUCUUACAAUCCCAACAGACUUAAAAUCAUAAAGAAUAGUAGUGGUUUCAUUUAUAUUUUCAUGGAAACACAAUGACCUCACAAACUAACCAUUCUACAGACUCAUAUUGACAUACUAGUAAUUCGAGACUAAUCAACAAAACCAAAUUGAAAAACAGGUUUACUCUCAUUGUUAAUGCACCAUCAUGAUCUCCAUCAAAUUGCCCUUCAAUCAUCAACUGUAUUUUCUCUCUCUUUUAGCCAGCCUCACAGCAUCCUGAAAGAAGAACAAAUCAUUGCAGUUCUUGAAGAACUCAUGCUGCAGCAGCUCAUCAGCAGUAGGCCUCUUUUCAGGGUCCUCAUUCAAACAUUCCCCCAACAUUUCCUUAAAAGAUUGCGAUAAUUUUCGAUCAAUCACCUUUAAACUUGCAUUAGAAACAGAGUCCUUCUUUGCCUUGGACUUGGAGGACAUUGUCAUCUUCACCAUUUUCUUCACCAUUUGCUUGAAAAAUUUAGCCACUGAUUUUUUCUUGCCUGUCCCAUUUUGAUUGUCAUUUUCUUUAUCCCCAUUUUCGUCUGAAUUGAUCACCUCUGCAAUCAAGGCCUCCAAAUCUUGGCGAUUUUGAACUCGAAUCCCCCCAAAAGCCAACUCCAUUGCAGUGAUUCCAACAAGCCAAACAUCAGAUUUAUCUGUGUAUUCUCCGGUAAAAUUGUAAACUUCUGGCGCGGCGGCCCAGUCACAGAUGGUGGUUUCCGGCAGAGUUUCAGAGGGCUGAGAAUAUUCUGAAUUGUGCUCAUAAAUUGAAGCUAAAAAUCCAAUCUGGAUUGCAGGGAUUUCUAGCCCAAAAUAAAUGUGACCCGAAUUGAAUUCUCUGUGCCCAUGUCCUUCUUGAUGGAGAUAUGCCAGACCCUUUAGACCUUCCUUUAGAGCAAUGGCAAUAAGUUCUUCAGGGAAGCCAUUUUUGUAGCAAGAAGCCAUUAAACACCGGAGAGAUCCUUCGUCCAUGGAAGGGAAUGCGAUCCAGAAUCUGUCAUCAAAAGUUAAUGCAUCUUUAAUUCCCAAAAUGUUGGGAUGAUCCAGCUGCAGAUUCUUGUUAACUAGUUCUAUUAGGCUCAAACAAUCUUGUUGGGGCUCCAGAUUGAUCAUUUUCAUGGCGAGAUAAAGCUCGUGGGGCUCCAAUUUCUUCAAUUCUUCCAAGUCAUAUGGGCAGUAGAGGACCUUGUAGACGACGACGGCGGCAGCGUCGCCAGCGGUGGUGCCGAUGGUUUGGAAGGUUCGGUAGCGGUUGAGGGUGUUGGGAUCUUCGAUGGUUUUGUGUUGGUGAUGGGUGGUGGUGUGUGAUUGGGUUUUGAGAACUUGAGGGGUUGGUUCUUCUGAUUGAUUGGCGGCGGCGGCUUCUUUACCUUUAGCGGGGUGUUCUUGAAUUUCCGGCGACGGUGGUGGGAUAUUCUGUAGGGUGGGUUUAAUUUGAGUUGAGUGGUCUUGCAUUGUUGGUGAUGGGAUGCCUUUUUCUUGAAUAAACAGAGAGAGAGAAUAAAACAGAGAGAGAGAUUAUGAUUAUUAUGAUGAUGAACAACUGAAAAACAGAUAUUUGGCGGGAAAUAUACAUGUGUUUAUAUAUAUAUAUAUAUAUAGAAAGGAUCAAGAGUAGAACUCUUAAGUAGUAGAAUUCCCUUAAAUAAUAGAAUUGUAUCAAAACGACGUAGUUUUGAUACAAUAUGCGGUGGCAUGGUAUUUACAAAAAUACUACCGCGUCUUAUCAAAAUUACGUCGUUUUGAUACAAUUCUAUUAUUUAAGGGAGUUCUACUAUUUAAAAGUUCUAGUCUUGAUACUCUCCCUAUAUAUAUAUAUAUCAGUUUUGGGUUUGAACUUUGAAGAAACAGUUGGAAUGGUAGAGAGAGAAAACUGUUAGGAUUUGACAGUUGGAAGUAUUCAUGGCAUUCGGAAGUCGGUAAUUCUGCACCUGUGAGUGCACGGAAGAGCAAUGUAUUCUCGCCAAAAGUGAUGACGCGUGUCCAAUAAGUUAAUUUAUGACUAAAUUAUGGAGUGAUUUUUUUUUUCCCUCAAGACAAAUUAAUUACAGCAUGUAAAUUGUACUGGUAAAUAACUAAAUAUUUUAAAAAGCCCAUUAGCUACUUGAGCUUCCUUAACUAAAAAUGGAAGAUAAAGAGAAGAAAAAUAUCCCUUCUGUCUAAAAAUGGGAGCUCACCAUGAAUUUUUAACAUAAAAUCUUGUAUAGUAAAAAUUUACAAAUAUUAUAGUUUUUAUUUAACCUUUAAUUAAUUGUUAAGUUUUCUGUGAAAUAAUUCAACAAAGAAAUAGAGGUUACAUUAUGCAUUAUAUUAUAUACUAGAUGUGUCCCGUACCUCCGGCACUGUAUGGACGGUGUGAUUUAUCCCAAAUUUUAGACGGUCUAAAUGAUUUAUUGAGUGAGCGAGAAAUUCAAAAACAUUUGUAUUUUAUUAGAUAGAUAUUUCAUUUAAUGUGUCAUUUUAUAUGUUAGUCCAAUUUAAAUGUGCUAAGCCUAACAUGUGAUGGAUUUAAAACAUGUCUAUCAGGGUACAUAUGAAUUUUAUGAUUUUUUUUUAUUUAACUCUUUCAUUAAUCUGUCCCUUUAAGUGUAUCUAUUCCUAUAAAAAAAAAUACAGCCCAGCAGGGACAGUUAUCUAUACUCUCUUAAAUACAUUCCCGUUAAGACUGGGGUACUGUGACCUCUACGUAUCAAGUACACACGCAACAAAAAAUUUAAUCUUGAUUGACGGGCCUGAAAAUACCUUAAAGUUCUAUAAUAAUAAUAAUAAUAAAAAAAACUUGUAUGUCAAAUAAUUUUAUAUUUAAUCUCCAAUUACAACUAAUAUGAGGUUAUAAUUGAUAAAAUAAUAUAGUAAUAUAUGGAUUUUUUUUACCUCCUAUCACAUGUAUUCAGAUAAAUUAGUAUUUCACAUCAACAUUAUAUUUAGUAAUUAUUAUAUUUUUACCGAUCCACAAUUAAUAGUACUAAAUGUUCAAAAUAAUUUUUGUUAAUUACAAUAAAAGAAUUAUAUAAUUGAGGUGUGAUAACUUUAAUUAUGACGAUAUUUAUACACGGAUCAUGGAUGGCCAGACCGGUUCGAGCCACAUGUUCAGGCUUGGGGUCUAGUCCAAGUCGAUUUGUCGUAGAAGCCAUGACAGACAUAGACUAGUUUUCCUUAUGUCUGGGGAUGGGCCUGCCUAUAUUAGAACCAAUUGGCUAGGUGGGCCUGAAAUUGUCAACUUUUAUAUAUAUAUAUAUAUAUAUAUAUAUAUAUAUAUAUAUAUAUAUAUGUGUGNNNNNNNNNNNNNNNNNNNNNNNNNNNNNNNNNNNNNNNNNNNNNNNNNNNNNNNNNNNNNNNNNNNNNNNNNNNNNNNNNNNNNNNNNNNNNNNNNNNNAUAUAUAUAUAUAUAUAUAACGGAUCUAAAUUACUCCUAUUAAAUAUUAUUUUUUAUUAUUAAAACUACGUCGUUUUAGAUAUUCUUUUAAAAUACAAAAUAAUAUUAAAAUAGAGUGGUCCCACUUGUUUUCUUUUUAUUUACAAAUUACCAUCUGCGGUCCCAUUGAUUUUUAAAAAAAAUCUCCAAAACGACGUAGUUUUAAUAAAGUAGUGCUAUUUAAGAGAGAAUACUAUUUAAGAGAAGUGUUUUAGAUCUGUCCUCUUUAUAUAGGAUGACUCUCUCCAGCGAAACAGAGCAGCAAACUAAAAAUAAACCUGUUAUAGCGACAGUUUUAUCCGUCGUUAUAGCAUGAAAAAUCGACUUUUUAUGCUAUAGCGACGGAUAAAACCGUAGUUAUAUAUAUAUAUAUAUAUAUAUAUAUAUAUAUAUGUAUGUACAUAUGGGGACUUAUCUAUAGCUAAUCGUUAUUAGAUCGUGAGUGCCCAUAUGAUGAUCUAACAGUUUAAUAAAGCUCUCGUCCGCAGUUUAAUUUUAAAUAUUUCAGUUUAGUUUUAAUAUUUAUAAUAUAUAAUUAUAUACAGUUCAUAAUUUUGUCUCAUGGUGAAGAAUUCAGAUCUCACAAUAUAAAUUCCAAAAGUGUAAUCGGGAGAAGGCCAGCAUUAAACUUCUUAUGUUAUUUUAAUUCGCACAAAAAUUAUGCAAAAUAAAACAAGUUAUGUAUCUUCUUGACCGACCCAUAUAUAAUUAAAUACCCUAAAUAUUCUCUUAAAUUUUAAGAUUAAACACAAGCAAAAAAAACUGUGCUUCUAUUGAUUGAUUUAUCGAUGAUACAAUGAAUUAUAUAUGUAUCUCAUCCACCAACAAUAAACAAAUACAUACCCUAUAAAUAUUAUUGCUAUAUAUUCUACAUCCUUAAUUAUGAAACUACACAAAAUAUAAUAAAGAGUUAAUGUCUAAUAUACCCCAAUGUUGGUACCCCUACACAUGAUAUUCAUAAACCUUUCAUUUGGGAACAUAAACUCAAACUAAUAUAGUUGUAGUGAAAGUUAAUUGAAGUAGAUUCUAAAGGACAUAUCCACAUAACUUAAUUAUGUCUUGGGCAUUAAGGAGUGCUCCAUUUAUUUGAAAUGUAGACAAUUCUAGUCCAAUUCUUGAACGUCAUGCACAUAAACGUGUAUAUAUAUAUAUAUAUAUAUAUAUAUAUAUAUAUAUAUAUAUAUAUAUAUANNNNNNNNNNNNNNNNNNNNNNNNNNNNNNNNNNNNNNNNNNNNNNNNNNNNNNNNNNNNNNNNNNNNNNNNNNNNNNNNNNNNNNNNNNNNNNNNNNNNNNNNNNNNNNNNNNNNNNNNNNNNNNNNNNNNNNNNNNNNNNNNNNNNNNNNNNNNNNNNNNNNNNNNNNNNNNNNNNNNNNNNNNNNNNNNNNNNNNNNNNNNNNNNNNNNNNNNNNNNNNNNNNNNNNNNNNNNNNNNNNNNNNNNNNNNNNNNNNNNNNNNNNNNNNNNNNNNNNNNNNNNNNNNNNNNNNNNNNNNNNNNNNNNNNNNNNNNNNNNNNNNNNNNNNNNNNNNNNNNNNNNNNNNNNNNNNNNNNNNNNNNNNNNNNNNNNNNNNAAGCUCAUCCACCAAGUAAUUCAACAACAAAUUCUCCAUCUCCAAGCUCAAUUCUUGUUCAUCAUCCUCAAACUUAUUCCACCCAACUCCCCUCUCCAUAUCUCUAACACUAAACUCUCUUUUCCCCACCAUUUUCCACUCCAAACAACACCCAUCAUCUUCCCCACUUAUCCAAGCUUUUGCUACUCUCAACAACUCGCAAUCAAUUAAUGCAUCACCCCUUUUCUCACUACUUGUACUCACUUCUUCCCUAAAGAAAUCUAACAGAAGAACAUCUUCGUAGCUUUCAACAAAGCUAGUUCCUUUGGCAUGAUUUAGAAGCUGCGUUGCCUUUAAUUCUACUACUUCAUUUGUUUCUUCUUUUGUACUGAUCAUCGAAUUAUUGCUCAUGAACAACCCUUUUCUUUGCAUUUUCUUUGGCUUCAAAUUGGUGGGAGUUUGAUGGGAAAAUGAGAAAGAAUAUUCUUUAUCUUCCUGGAAUGAAAAAUCAAGAACUGAAACUGGGCUGUUCUGUUCUUUCUCCUCCUCAUCACAUGGCCAUUCGACCUGUAAAAUUAAUGCAUGUGAAUCAAUAUUAAAUCACUACAAUAGUUUAGGUAAAUCAUAGAUAGCAGAUUCAUAAUCACAACUAAAUCACUAUAUAGCUAGCUAGUCUACAUACGGCACUUCAAAUUUUGAGAGAUACUUUUGUUCUGACAAUAUCAACCACGUAAAUUUUGCCAUAUAUAUAUAUAUUCAAUUAUUUAUGUUUUUAAAAAAAAUGCAAAUAGCCUAUUUUUUUUAGCUACUAACUUGUUGCAUUUUUUAUUACUAGCAUGGAAUAAAAAAAGAACUUUUGCAUUACAAAUCAAACAAAAGAAAUUAGUUCUUAAUUAAUUAGCAUGUUACCUUGGGUUGUACUAUCAUAGAUUCCCUGCCAACACCACCAACGGAUAAUAAUUUUUUACCCUUUUGAACCUCCGUUUCACCAGCAUACCCUCCCUCUUCACUGCACCAUAAUGGUAAAUCUUCCGCAGUAAAAUCACUAUCGCACCAACUGGAUCUACUACUAGUAGACCCUGUUGUAGUAGUAACAGUUGUACAAUGAUGUGGUGAGGAGGAGAAAUCCAACGGUGGAGAUUGCUCAUCAUCAGCCAAGUCUCGGAACGAUCUCCACCGUAGAAUGUCCUUCACCUUGACCUUAACCGAAAUCUCAUUUACGUCGACGUUUCCAUGCAAAUUAGACAGUCCUCUCCUUGAAAUGCUUCUUGGUAAAACUGAAGGAGACUUAAUGGAGGCAAAUGGGAGGUAUUUGAUUGCCUUGACGAAAAAUUUGGACAAGGCUUUACUAGAAAAUAACGUAGCAUUUAAAUUUUCAUGGAAAAACGUUUUUUUUUGUUGAAAAUUGAUGGAUGAAAAUGAUUGUGAAUUUUCUUUGAGAAAAUCUUUGAGUAGGCGCUGUUCUUGAGAAACUGGAAUAAGUUUCGAACCCAUAAUUAGAGAGUUCUUAAAUUUUUAGAAAUAGGGAUUUUGAUCUGGUACUAAUUGGGAGAUAUGCAUAUAUAUAUGAAGGUGUGUGUGUGUGUGUA